AGGCUCUAAUGGACUUGAUUGCUAGAGUAAGCAAACAUGUUUACAGAAGAAAUGGAGUUCUUACUGACAUGAAGUCAUUUGGCACAGUUCAGUUGGGCUAUGGUAUUAAGAAGCUUGAUGGCAGAUAUUAUCAGAUCUUUGAGGAGAAGAAGCAGUAGCAAGAGCAGCAGUAGCAGUUCACCUCCUCAUAAGCCAUAGAUCGUACAAUUUUACCGACACCAACCAACUCAAGUCCUUCGUUCCAGUGAUAAUUUAAUAUGUGAACGAAGCCUUCGUUGGUGUUAUAUGUUAAUUUUUGGCUUAUGUUUCAAAUUUCAAAUUUGGUUUGUAAUUUAAUUAUUAAUUUUUACAUUGAGAUAUAAUUCUUAAGAUUGUAUGUUUGGUUUGGAUGACCAUGUUUUGUAUUUGGAAGUUAAGAUGGCAUGUAGAAAUUAUUUUAGGCCAAAUUUUUAUAGGAAUGUGAAU